GGCUAUGGUAAAAAAAUAUAUAUAUAUAUUUUUCUGAAGCCCUAUCUGGACAGGAUUAGUUACUCAGGGGGUCCUUGGGUAAUUUUCUCUUUUAUGGGGGGGUCCUCCGUGAUUUUAGUUAAAAUUUUAGUCCCGUCUAGACGCACAUCUCUGAGUUUCAUCUCCUCACAUUUAAUAAAAUUGCUUUUUGUCCACUGCUUUGCAUAGUAAUAACACUUUGGGUGCGCGUUUCCUUACUAUUUCCUACUGAAUGUGAUGUCAUGUGACCAAGAAAGCCGAAAAACUCACCAGUUCAGAUGCAAGAGUUUUAUCACUGAGUAGGAGUGUGAAAUAUUGUUCUCAGAUGGCUCCCUGAGAAACUAAUCCCGUCCGGUUAGGAUUUAAGUCAAAGGAGUGCUGGAUGUUAAUCUACACAAAUAUCUCUCCAGAAAACUGUUUAUUUGGCAGCAGCAGCAGAUGCCCCACUCUAUGCCGUUUCCAAGACCCCGGUUCCAGCCAGCCCUCCGCCAGCCCGGCGCACUGCGAUCACGUUUGUUAAGAUGCGAAGCGCUUGCCAGCCAUCCAGCCAGUCACGUUACACACUUCUGCGCUCGUUGACCUCGCUGAUGCCUCUGAUGCAGCCGAGCCUGUGGAACUGAUUACUGUGGACUGGAGUUGCCCAUUCAUGCCCAAUACGUAACCCCUGGAGAAUUUAAAUUUCUCUCUUUAUGGGUCUGCUCUUGCAAGACGCGCUUUAUUGGGGUGGCAGCGUUCCAAACCGGCUUGUUGCAGGCGAAUGCUGCUCUUUAAGGCAUCUAGAACUGUAUCAGUGAACGGGAAUCAGGACAGAACCAUCAUACACAACGAGAUAAAUGUGGAGAAAUUGAUAUGAAAUUUAUAUGACUUGGCGAAUUGAUAUGACUAAGCAAAAUGAAGCUGCAAGAGAUGCUUAUUGGUUUGAUGUCAUAAUAAUUUGUUAGUAUGUUUAUAAGCUGCUUAUUCAGCCAACAGCAGUUAAAUAGCAAUUCUAAAUCUGCCAAUAUAAAUAUUAAAGGAGAA
rnacentral:lncRNA from 1 species